AUGGAGCUUGGAGAGACGAGUUUUCUAAACACAUCUGGGGAUCUUUGGAGAGUUUUUGAAGGCUUGAAGUAUGUGUUUGCCAAAGGACAUAUGAAAACGGAGCUUCAUAUUGAGAUUAUUGAAGUGUUCACAACAUCAACUAAAAUGGAAACAUGGAGCUUCAUAUUGAUAUCAGUGUUCACAAUUCUCACCACUUCAUCAACUAAAAUGGAAACUGGUUGA